AUUAAAAUGUGUUGCAACAGUACAGAGCUUUGCAUAUCUCUUUUUUUGGGGACCAACAUGGCUACAGCAUAGAUCUCUGAAACAUGGAAAAUCCCAUAUUUCAGCAUGGAAUACCGGAAAAGGUUAUUUUUACUGCUAAAUUGAAAGAGGAUUACCUUGCAGAAGUCUGCCUCCUUUAUAAAGAUGAAUGGCCAGGGCUGCUUCAUACUUCUCUGCAGAGAUUAAAUUUGCUAUUUCAGAUGGGCCUUCAUAACGAAAAGCAUCUUUAAGAAUGCAUGUAUGACCUGCGGCCUCUAGAUGAUCCCUUCAUCACAAAAAGAAAUAGAACAAGAGGAAGAGGAUAAUGUUAAUACACUGCAGGCUUGCCAUUAUGUUGAACAGUUUAAUCAAAAUAUCUCGCUUAAUAACUUUCGCCUCGAGAUUCACCUUCCUUAGAAAACCUGGCUUAGAAAAUACUUCCCCAUGUAAGAUGCUUUCUGUGAACAUCUGAUCCCUAUGCAACAUAAUAGCUGCAUCCCGUAUAAAUGGUCUGCUCCUGCAAGGUACUGAGAGCCCCCACUUUUCUUGGACAUCAAUGGCAGUGGAAGAAGUUCUGCACCUUGCAGGACGGGGGUUUCUGAACCUGAUCCACCUCCUAGUAAAGUCCAUGGGAGUGCACUCUGCGCAGGUUCAGAAUGUAAAACACCCGAAAAAAGACACAUGAAAAUGAAAAAACAUACAAGAAGCAUUCAAUUAACUAAUCCUGUUACAAUAACCACGCAUACCACUGUGCAAGAAAAAUCUGCUUCAGGGGAAAAGGAGUCGAGAUUCGAGUGGAAGACAUAAAAUUACAAUCCAUGGACACCUAUUGACAUGUUUGACUUUGGGCUUAAUCUGUUCUCGCCUCAAUUUGCCUAUCUGUACAAUAGGCUUAAAUAAAAAGGAUAAUGAUCUUCAUCAUGGUUUCAUUUAAUAAAUCACUAUUUAACAAAUGUUUUCAUGGACAUAACCAAAAGUUAAAGCUGUCGAAAUUAAAAAUCAAAACAGAG